UACGGUGAUGAUGCGCUUAGGGGAAACACCCGUUCCCAUCCCGAACACGCAGGUUAAGAUCUAAGCGGCCGAUGGUACUUGUCUGGAGACGGACUGGGAGAGUAGGUGGUUGCCGUAU
rnacentral:rRNA from 1 species